CCUACGGGAGACAGCAGUGAGGAAUAUUGGUCAAUGGGCUUACGCCUGAACCAGCCAAGUCGCGUGAGGGAAGACUGCCCUAUGUGUUGUAAACCUCUUUUGUCAGGGAGCGAUUGGCGCUACGUGUAGCGUUAUCGAGAGUACCUGAAGUAAAAGCAUCGGCUAACUCCGUGUCAGCAGCCGCGGUAAUACGGAGGAUGCGAGCGUUAUCCGGAUUUAUUGGGUUUAAAGGGUGCGUAGGCGGAAUGCCAAGUCAGCGGUAAAAUCGCGGGGAUCAACCUCGCUCCGCCGUUGAAACUGGCGUUCUUGAGUGGGCGAGAAGUAUGCGGAAUGCGUGGUGUAGCGGUGAAAUGCAUAGAU
rnacentral:rRNA from 1 species